UUAUUAGAAAGUGGAUAGACUGGAAAUGGGGAGAGAGAUGGGAGAUGACGGGCAGCAAAGGGCAGCGGGUCGGACCCCAACCCUGCACCGCUGCAGGGCCCAGCCAACAAGGGGCAAACGCGCCCACUGGGUGAGCCAGAGGCCGCCCCAAAAGACUGGCUUU